GCCUCGUCAUCUAAUUAGUGACGCGCAUGAAUGGAUUAACGAGAUUCCCACUGUCCCUGCCUACUAUCUAGCGAAAACCACAGCCAAGGGAACGGGCUUGGCGGAAUCAGCGGGGAAAGAAGACCCUGUUGAGCUUGACUCUAGUCUGACGUUGUGAAGAGACAUGAGAGGUGUAGAAUAAGUGGGAGCGCAAGCAACAGUGAAAUACCACUACUUUUAUCGUUUCUUUACUUACUCGAUGAAGCGGAAGGCGGCCGAAAGGCCACACUUCUAGAUUUAAGCAGUUGCCCUCGUGGCAAUUGCGAUCCGCUUUGACGACAGCGUCAGGCGGGGAGUUUGACUGGGGCGGUACAUCUGUCAAAAAAGUAACGCAGGUGUCCUAAGGCGAGCUCAGCGAGGACAGAAACCUCGCGUAGAGCAAAAAGGGCAAAUGCUCGCUUGAUUUUGAUUUUCAGUACGAAUACAGACCGUGAAAGCGCGGCCUAUCGAUCCUUUUGAUUUUACGAG
rnacentral:rRNA from 1 species